AGGUCAAGUUUCCUGGGAAGAUGAACUCGGAGAAGGAGAUGCAGAUAUCCAACUUAACUAUUUCUAAAAUAUCUUUGCUGAAUUAAUUGGGUUUUCUAAGUCCACAAAUAAAUCACAUUGAUUUAGAAGGUUUGCUUCAGCUCAUCAUCAUCUUCACUCCCUUCUGAACACUUGCUUCUCAGAAUCCCUUGCCAUCAGGCUUCCAGUUUAGGUUCUGCCAGUGAGAAGUACCCGUGUGAGAUUAAGACGGUGGAAGAGAAGAAGGGUCAUCUUUUGGACCUGGCUCUCUGUUUAGGCCAGCCUCAAUACCUGCAGUCUAACUUGGUAAGUUUGUGAUGCUGCUCUCUUGGAAGGAGAACGUGAGCCAUUGGCGUGGAUCGUGGGGGUGGCAGGACAGACCAUUUGUGGUAGGUGGUAGCUGAUCUCCUAUUUCAUGUUGUUACCCAGAGAAUUGGGGCUAUGCCUUCCUCAUACAGAAGAAUAACACUGGGAUCCAGACAGCUGGUCCUAAGCAUAACAGAAUCCCACUCCCUCCAGCAAUGGUUCAGCCAGGACGGGCCCACACAGCUUCAGAACAGUCAGUUUAAUGGCUCUGCAGCCACUCCCAUGCCAGCAAACAACAGGAUGAUACUAUGACCUCUAAGAUUUGGAGCUCAUGCCAGAUGGUGUAUUAUGGCUCCACCCCUGGGACUCCCACUUCUAGUGUGUCACCCCUCCUCCCUCUACAGGACCCAGCCCCAGCCAGUCAUAGGAUGCUGUUGAGCUACCAGAUGAAGUUAAUUGAAGCUGGAGAAGUACAACUUCCUACCCCACCUGCGUUGUGUCUCUAUAAUACAACAUGGUUAUCUGUGAGGAAUGCAGACAUUCCCCAGCCUAGAAUGGAAUUCACAUCUCUCUCUCUUCCUGUCUCAUUCCCUCUGUCACCUACAUUCCUGACCUGCCAAAUGCUUAUUGGACUUAACUACUCUUUAUUAGCAUUGCAAAUGGAAGUCAUGUUGAUGGUGAAGAAGGAGGCACUGGUACCCUUGCUCCCAAAUGUCAGAACCCUUGGCUUGAUGUUGGCAUCUGCAGCAUGGACAGCAACACUAGCCCAGGAUGUCUUUUGUUUGCCCUUUUAUUUUUAUUUUAUUUAUUUAUUUUUAA